CGCCUCUGUUCUUGAAGAAUUGCAUGGUGAUCCAGCUGUUUUUGGACUACAACUCCCAUCAUCCCUCGCUAGCAAGACCAGUGGUCAAGGAUGAUGGGAAUUGUAGUCCAAAAACAGCUGGAGGCCCAAGGUUGGGGAACACUGCCCUAAGCUCUUUCCCUGUCACUGACACCUAGUAGUAAUAGCCCCUGAAACAACUGUUCAGAGCUGAAUAGCAUCAGCAUUGUUUUACAUAUUGAAAUAAGCCCAGGAAAUGGGGACAGGGAAAGGAUACUCACACUGCGGAAUGCAAUCUGUAAUUCUGUCCCCUUUCCUAAACUGAGGAGGCAGGACCAUCUUGGAUAGCCUGUCCAAUGAGCAUAGUAGCAAGUAGAUGCAAGCCAGCCUCUAUUGUGUAGUUUAGCAGCUUCUUCCAGUCUACACUUUGAUCUGCAUUCCAUAAUGUAACAGCUGGGUGUUGUACCUGUCAAUAUUUGCACUGGAAAUGAUAGGUCACAUCCUGGUUCUUCUCAUUGUGCAAGCAUGCCUGUAUUCCAUAUGCUUCUAUUUGUCAUUCUAGCCCUCUCAUCUGCAGCCGUGCAUUCUGAUGGGAUGCAGUUUAGCAGCAUGACGUUUCCAUUUGUUUACAUGUAUGAACUACUUGAGAUUCCUGCAUUGCAAGGGGGUUGGAUUAGAUGACCCUCGGGGUCCCUUCCAAAUCUAUGAUUCUAUGAAUACAUUGCAUUCCUCCUGCUGAUUUAUAAAGGCAGACUCCUUUAUAGUGGCAAAACGAGCUGCACCACUUGUGUGUGAAAGUCAUAUGGUGUUAAUUUGUUGGGGAUGAGGGAAGAAUUAGCAAUUCUAUCGAUGAUCAAACUGUGACUAUUAUUGCCAACUAGUUGUUUUAUUUAUUACAAUUAGUUAUAUUUAUCAUGCGCCUUUCAAGAUCUAAAUCCUACCAAGGCAGCUUACAAGUAAUAUUCAAGUGCAUACCUCAAAAACACAAUAAACAAUACUAAUAUAUUAAAAUACAUCAGAAUCCUUCCAACAGGGCAGUAGAUCACCGUGUGGUGAGGGGAGCAAAUCUAGGGGUGGGGUGUUCUCCUGUCUCCCGUUCCUAGAAGCCUUCAUGCAGGAGUGUUGAUGGUAGAUUGUCCUGGUGGGAAAAGGAGGCAAGAGAGUAGGGAAAGGGAUCAGUAGGGUGAGAUGGUGCAGAGUUUUAUAUCUCUUAAUGCUAAGUUAUUUAGGACUCCUUUGUCAUUUAGGAGUAACCAACUAAAUGUAUGCAUAAAUUUGAAGCCAAUGCCUUUUCUUAGGGGCUGUUGGACAUUACUUUAACUGUGCCUCUUGAAUAUACCCGCAGUGGAGGUGAACGGUCCUCUAUUUUGAACAAGUGUCCUGGAAGGCACCACAUUGUAAAGUUAUCUUUUGGCAACUCUUGAGAGGGCCCUCGGCAAAUAGUCAGAAUAUAUUAAUUUGAAAUCAUCUUUGCAGAACAAUUUUCUCCGAAGAACUGAGGGCAGUACGUUGUAACAAUAUGGCUGAACAGUGAAUUGAACCUGGGUCUUCUUGGUUGACCUAGUGCAACGCUGUAUUCAACUUAUCCCAUGGCUCUCCUGCAGAGAGUGCCAAACUUUUCUUCAGGAAAGCAAUUCCGAUCAAGCUGAGCAGAGUAAUGUGUGGUGCUGUACUGGCCUUGAGUAAAGAGAUUUCACUCCUGAGAACUUGGCACCACAGACAUUGCAAUCUUUAUUGAUUGGCUACCUAAGAGUUUUCUCUGCAUGUUGAAGUGAUUUCUAAAUUGACCUCUCUGUUGUACCCCUGCAGCAGUAUGCACUAGUCACGAGAAGGAAUCAGCUGAAGAAAAGCCAAUGGAACAGCUGGCAUCUAGAGGAAAGAAGACAAACUGGGAGGGGGAGCAGUGUUAAUGUUAAUACCUUUCAGGUUUAUCUUGGAACUAAAAUGUUAGUUCAUCUGAGGACACAAACCACAGAGAAAUGGAACCUAUAGAAAUGUAGAGUUUAAAGUAGACGUGAAAAAAGUUGAUGCUCCACUAGACUUGCGCCUAAAUGUUACCCGUCUUGAUUGAUCCCCGGGUACCGGUAGGUGUGAGGAAUGCAUAUCCUGUAAAAUUAAGUACUCUGGUUUUCCUGGUCCUUUCCUUGCCUGUGUUUUCCCCAGUUGCCUGAAGGUUUUCCAGUUGUCUGAAGACUGAGCUUAGAAGUUAGUUAGGUUUGUUCAGAGCUGCUGAAUGCCAAGCUUUCCAUCACUCUCCAAUUAUGAUCUCAUAGGCGACGGCUUCAGAACUCUCAAGUCAGCAGCAGCAGGUGAGGUUUUAACAACUCUCCGUAGGACAGAUUGUUGUCUAGGCCCUCCCCAACCUGGAGCCCUUCAAAUGCUUUGGACUACGGCUGCCCUCCGCCACAGCUAAUGGAGGAAAAGGCUAUCAAUGGUUACUAGUCAUGAGGAGUGUGUUCUACCUCUCCUAUUGGAGACAGUUUGCCUCUGAAUAUUAUUUGCUGGAAAAUGACUCCAGAAGAGAGGCCUAUUUUGCCUAUGUCCAGCUUGGGGACCUCCCAUAGGUAACUGAUUAGUCACUGUAGGGAACAGGAUGCUGGACUAGAGGCCUUUAUUUGCAUCCAGUAGGGCUCUUAUUAGGAAACGGGAGGCAUCCAAUGGAGAGAAGGAGCAGUAGUCCCUCCCUUUUUUUCUUCCCACCUCCCCUUCCUUCCCGUUGGUCAGACAAAGACUCACUUGACAUGCUAAAACCUGAUAAAAUGUGGCUGCUUACGUUUAUGCUCGGUUCUACAGAUCCACACCCUCUUACCAAACAAAGGCAAGGUCCGGUAAAAUUAUUAAACAGGAACGGUCUUGGGAACCUGUCUGCAAGUUUCAGAUUCCUCCACCUUAUGCAUACACCCAGGUAUUUACCAAAGAAGGAAUCUCUUGGAGUGGAUGGUGAACAGCAACAGAGUGGAAAAGUAGAGCAGUGGCAUUUUACUGACUUCAAAACUCAAGGGAAGAAAGACCAGGAGGAGGAGGAGGAGAAUAACAGUAGGUUUAGCAUCCUUUGUAUUUCCUUGGAAUCUCACAGGAUCUGUGCGAUGGAGCCACUAUCUGAUAGCAACUCAGCAGAGGGAGGGAGAGUAUGGACACAGUAACUUCAUCAACAUUACCAGACGGCUUGAUGGUGGAAUGAAAAACAAAGAUGCAGCGGAGAAAGACCAAAGAGGAUGACAAUCUGAUCGCAGAUGAGCAGGAUCUCCAGGAGGCCGGUUAUGGGAGCUUAAAGACCUCGGAGGACUACAUAUACGAAUUCAUCACCUUGGGCCCUGAGAAGGUCUCAAAACAGACCACUUAUGAAAGCUUUGCUGAUACCUAUGGGCAGAAUAUAGAGGAUGCCAAGGGUGGGAGGCAACCCAUGAGUUACCCUGAGGUCCCACGGAGGAAUAAACAAGCGCCAUUAAGCCAUGCUGUAAAGAGCACUGCAAACCUCUUCAGUGAUGAGACAGCCAGGAUAGACUUUAUUCUGGUAUGGGAAUCAGAUUACCAGAAUUUGGAAGGACAAGGUGAUGUGGCUGAGAAAUCAAAUCGAAGGCAGAAGAGAUCGCUUGAAAUACACAGUGUGUGGCGAGAGAAUUUUCUGAAGAAACUCCAGAAGAAAGGGAUUAGAAUGGAAAAGCACGUUGCCCAGAAUGCAAGGAAGCUGGUGCACUUUAUAUUGCUGAGCGCUCCUUGGAGUGUGCUCUGUUAUUAUGCUGAAGACCUCAGGCUGAGGGUUCCUUUGCAGGUUGUGCCCAAUAUUCAGGCUGUAGCUAACUGGUCUCACAGGUUGCUGGUGAAGCUGGGCAUCCCCAAUAUGCUGUAUGAUGAGGUUCCUAACUUUCCCUUGGAUUACUACACCUGUCAUUUCAAGGCAAAUAAAUUACCCUGGUUUCUUGGGAGUGAACAUCACGAUACCUUCUUCAACACCACACAGCGACACAGAAUACUAUAUGAGAUCCUGGCCACCACGUCAUAUGGCAACCCUAAGGCAGGACAGGUUGGAAUAGAAAGGUUGUUGAAUGAGGAGGUCUUCACAGCUGCAUUCCCAUUGCAUGAUGGUCCCUACAAGAUUCCCCAGAAGGAGAUCCCCCAUAUUCAGCUAAAUCAGAGGCAGAUUCUUUUCCAUUACUGGGCCCAGUGGAGUAAGUGGAAUAAGUACCAGCCAUUGGAUCACAUCCGCAGGUACUUUGGGGAGAAGAUUGCUCUCUACUUUGCCUGGCUUGGUUUCUACACUGGAUGGCUUUUGCCAGCAGCUGUAGUGGGGACACUAGUCUUCAUAAUAGGCAUAUUUAUGAUGCUUGAUGACAUCCCUACGAAGGAGAUCUGUACCAGUGAGGGGAAAUACAACAUGUGCCCACUCUGCAAAGUCUGCCCCUAUUGGAACCUCUCCACCAUUUGCCCAAUGUUUCAGGCUGGUCGCCUCUUUGAUCAUGGUGGGACUGUCUUCUUCAGUAUCUUCAUGUCUUUAUGGGCAGUCACAUUCCUUGAAUACUGGAAGCGGCUGAAUGCUACCUUGACAUACCGCUGGGACUGUUCAGACUUCGAAGAUAUUGAGGAACGUCCACGGCCCCAAUUCACUGCUAUGGCACCCAUGACAACCACAAAUCCAAUCACUGGAGCGGAGGAGCCCUAUUUCCCCACACGGAGCCGUUUCAAAAGAAUCAUGGCUGGAUCAAUGGUCAUCAUCAUGAUGAUUGCUGUGGUGGUGAUGUUCCUGAUUUCGAUAAUCCUUUACCGGGCCAUCAUUGCCGUAGUUGUAGCCAAGUCUGGGAAAUACCUUCUUGUAGCUUCGGCUUCUCGUAUUGCUAGCCUCACUGGCUCAGUGGUGAACCUCCUCUUCAUCCUCAUCCUAUCAAAAAUUUACACUUCACUGGCACUUUUUCUUACCAAGUGGGAGAUGCAUCGUACACAGACCAUGUUUGAAGAUGCGUUCACCUUCAAGGUGUUUGUCUUUGAGUUCAUCAAUUUCUACUCCUCUCCCAUCUACAUUGCGUUCUUUAAGGGCAGGUUUGUAGGCUAUCCAGGACGCUAUUCCACAUUGUUGGGUAUCCGCAAUGAAGAUUGUGGUCCAGGUGGCUGCCUCAUUGAACUUGCCCAAGAGCUGCUUGUCAUCAUGGUGGGAAAGCAAAUAAUUAAUAAUGUACAGGAGCUCCUCAUCCCGAAGUUGAAAUCAUGGUGGCAGAAGCGGAAGUCUCACUCUAACAGGAAUGAGGGCCAGGAAAGCUCCACGAAGCAGCUCUGGGAGAGUGAUUACGAACUGCUGCCCUAUGAAGGGCUCUUUAACGAAUACCUGGAAAUGGUCCUGCAGUUUGGCUUCAUUACCAUCUUUGUGGCCGCCUGCCCCUUGGCACCUCUCUUUGCCUUGCUCAACAACUGGGUGGAAAUUCGCUUGGAUGCUCACAAAUUUGUUUGUGAAUAUAGGCGGCCGGUUGCUGAGCGGGCCCAAGGCAUGGGCAUCUGGUUCCCUAUCCUGGAAGUCAUCACACACCUGGCAGUCGUUAGCAAUGCCUUUCUGAUUGCCUUCACCUCUGACUUCCUCCCUCGGCUAUAUUACCAGUACACUCAUGCCAGCGAUCUACAGGGCUACAUUGACUUCACCCUGGCCUAUGCCCCAAAAUCUUUUGUCCUGGAGCACAAUGUCACAUGCAGCUCUAUCUCCACAGGUACAGAGCAUAUCGAGAACAAAGUGGCAGCACGUGGUCUUCUUCAUUGCACGUCUGAUUGAUAUGAUGGUGCCCGACAUCCCAGAAGUGGUGGAGAUCAAAGUGAAGCGAGAGCAGUAUCUAGCUAAAGAGGCUCUGGCUGAGAACAAGGCCCUCACCGAAGUGAUAGAUGCAAGAAAUCCAACCCCUCUGGCAGACAAAGCACCAUAGUAGGCUCACGAUGCUGAAAUACAUUCUGAUUUUGAUCCAGGCCAAGUUGCCAAGCUUCUGGAAGAGCAAGGGGUGGGGAGGUGAGCAGCCUAAAAGAAUUUGACAAAAAGUGACACUUCUCUGCACAAGUGCUGUACUGCAGAAGGAGACUUGGAGCUUUUAAAGGCUUCAGGAAUUUGAUCGAUCCAGCUGCUGCUUUAAGGACUUUGAGAAGUGUCAACUUGGAAAGGACAAGAUAUACAUGGAGAAUGGAUAAAUCUAACCAGCCCACUCAUCAGCUCUGCAAUCAUUUGCCUAAAUGAACAGCUUUGUCAGGCUUUCCAUGUCCUCACUGCCCAAGAAGUGACUUCUACUGAUAUUUAUAGAGUUAUAGUCUAGCAGUGAGCACAGAGGAGUCCUACAUUCCUGUUUACAAAGAGGGAGGGCUGCUUUUUAACUUGUGAAGAAGUACUGCUUAGCGACAAGGAAUCUUCCAAAGAGGGAAGAAGCUGCAUCACUUGAAUGGCUUAUAAGAGUGAGAGCUGCUCUGAUGAGCUAAGGGGCAAUUACUGGAGAGUAGCUGUGUACUUUGCUUAGCAUGCAGUGGCCAGCUUAACAGAAGAUUACUGCUUGAGAAGGCAACCAUUUGAGAGCUUGUACUGAGCUUCACAAGCUGCCUGCUCCUCCCUUCCUCUCACACAAGCAAUACAAGACUGUGAGUAUCUUCUGCAUAUCAGUUUGAAUCUGCUUUAGCUGGAAGCUGCAAUGUGGCAUAUGCCAAAUACUAGUGAUUGCAAUCAUGAUUAAACAGUACCCCUGCUGACAGCAAAUGGGCAGAAUCUGUCCAACAUUCAGUACGAACAGCUAAAAAGUCCAAGUUCUUUUACAAUUGUUUGGAAUUAAUUGUGAAAGGUUAAGAGUUAGCAGCUGUUCAGUAUUUCAUUAGGAAGGCAGGUAGAAAUUUUGAAUUAGUGACUUCUUUAAAAAAAACCACUAAAGUAUACAGAAAAUAAAGACAACCACUCAAAAGCUGUUUCAGGUUUUAUUUUAUUUUUUUAGAAUUUAUAAAAUUCCAGUGUCAUCCAUACUCAUGAGCCUUUAUACAUGUUUUGCAUAUAAUCUCCAAAUUCCAAAGUUAAGGCCAAGGGAUCAUUGCCAUGGAAACAUAAUAUGGAAGACAUUAAGAGGACAUGGAGCACACCUCCGCAGAGCAUCUGCUGCAGACUACAUGGGACAGAGGGGGUAGAGUACUCUCAACAGUUUGAACAAAUGGCUGGGUUGGGGGCCCAUGCUCAAUGGCAGUUGAAGCCUAAAAACACAUGUGCAAGUGAUGUGACUGACAUUCAGACACCAGGUAUACUACUGGCAAUACAUUAAAACACUACUACCCUG